CCUACGGGUGGCAGCAGUGGGGAAUAUUGGACAAUGGGGGCAACCCUGAUCCAGCCAUGCCGCGUGUGUGAAGAAGGCCCUCGGGUUGUAAAGCACUUUCAGUGAGGAAGAACGCCUGGUGGUUAAUACCCAUCAGGAAAGACAUCACUCACAGAAGAAGCACCGGCUAACUCCGUGCCAGCAGCCGCGGUAAUACGGAGGGUGCGAGCGUUAAUCGGAAUUACUGGGCGUAAAGCGCGCGUAGGUGGCUUGAUAAGCCGGUUGUGAAAGCCCCGGGCUCAACCUGGGAACGGCAUCCGGAACUGUCAAGCUAGAGUGCGGGAGAGGAAGGUAGAAUUCCCGGUGUAGCGGUGAAAUGCGUAGAGAUCGGGAGGAAUACCAGUGGCGAAGGCGGCCUUCUGGACUGACACUGACACUGAGGUGCGAAAGCGUGGGUAGCAAACAGGAUUAGAUACCCGUGUAGUC
rnacentral:rRNA from 1 species